CUAACACAUGCAAGUCGAACGUGAUCCGCCCUUCGGGGUGGUGAAAGUGGCGCACGGGUGAGUAACGCGUGGAUAAUCUGCCCGAGGAUUUGGGAUAACAUCUCGAAAGGGGUGCUAAUACCGAAUAAGCCCACGGGGUCUACGGAUCUUGCGGGAAAAGGGGGGGACCUUCGGGCCUCCUGUCCUUGGAUGAGUCUGCGUACCAUUAGCUAGUUGGUGGGGUAAUGGCCUACCAAGGCGACGAUGGUUAGCUGGUCUGAGAGGAUGAUCAGCCACACUGGAACUGAGACACGGUCCAGACUCCUACGGGAGGCAGCAGUGGGGAAUUUUGGACAAUGGGGGCAACCCUGAUCCAGCCAUGCCGCGUGAGUGAAGAAGGCCUUCGGGUUGUAAAGCUCUUUCGGACGGAAAGAAAUCGCCGCCUCUAACAUAGGCGGUGGAUGACGGUACCGUAAGAAGAAGCACCGGCUAACUACGUGCCAGCAGCCGCGGUAAUACGUAGGGUGCGAGCGUUAAUCGGAAUUACUGGGCGUAAAGCGUGCGCAGGCGGUUUGGUAAGACAGGUGUGAAAUCCCCGGGCUUAACCUGGGAACUGCGCUUGUGACUGCCAGGCUAGAGUACGGCAGAGGGGGGUGGAAUUCCACGUGUAGCAGUGAAAUGCGUAGAGAUGUGGAGGAACACCGAUGGCGAAGGCAGCCCCCUGGGCCUGUACUACGCUCUCACAAAGCGA
rnacentral:rRNA from 1 species